GACUCUGGUACUAAGUUAAUUUCUCAGCUGCCGUAAAAAACGGAAAAGAAUGAAAGGCGAUGAAGCACAGUCGAGUUGAUUUCCGAACCUUAUGCUUGCCUUAUGUUGAAUGUUUAUUAUGUAGAUGACUACGAUUUUUCCCAAAAAGAACUGUAAUGUAAAAUGUGACAACUCUGCUUUGAAGAAAAGGAUGGAGAGAUAACACAAUACUGGUCAUUCCAGUCAAUACGAGAUCCAAAGCAAAACAUCGUUCGGAUGUACCUAGAUAUUGCUCUUACGUAACGAUUCAUGCUUUCGCCAUUGUGAAACACUUGUGCCCCCUACGCUUGAUACUGCGCAGUUGGCUAUUUCGCUUAUGGAACUAAAAUUAACUGACAUGUUUUGCAAGUAUUGUAUGUAAAAAUAAUGGAUCGAGACGGGUAUACUUGUAACACUUCAGAAGGUUUUGAGAAAUCUACCUGGCACACAGAUCCCUGAGGCGGACAUAGUUAAGAAUUUACAGUACGCACUAUGAUAGCUAGACAAAGGGCAAAACUUUGAGCGGAGGUAUAGAGAAUAGGAGAAGUAAAUUCCACAAAACAACGAAACAUAGAAACCGAAUAGCUGGUGGAUGGAUUAAUCUAUCCAUUCCAACGGAUUUGUUUUUCUCUGUUUUUCAUUUUAACGGUGACAAUUUCUUGUUGGCUCAAAAGUAUUUGAAAUGUAGUAUAAUUAUAAGCAUUAGAACUAUGUUAGAACCUCGAGAUUUAUCAAUGCGAAUAGGCGGCGCUGGCCUCAAUUUCGUGGGUAAACAGUAACCCCAAGCUGUCGACUGAAAAUCUUUCCCAACAACCGUACCCUAUAUAGAGUUACAACAGCGUCGUUACGAAAAAGAGCUCAAGUUCAUCACCCCUCAUGAUGUAUGGCUACUUGGAAAACAACUGUGAAACCACCGAAUUGCUGGUUUCAUCCAGAUAAACUUUGACAGACAGAACAAUCAAUUAGUUCAUAUGGAUUCUUAAAAGCUAUGCGAAUUACCUGGUCACAGCAUCUUUUUGAUAUCUCCGAUUUCCACAAUUACUAGAGGCAAAGUAUACUGCUUUUGAUUUUCGAUCUUUUGGCCUAGAUUUUCGUCAGCUUUUUCAAUCGAUAAUGGCACGUGCUUUAAGUCGCCUCCCACUCACCGUGAUUCUGUCGAGGGAUUUAUUUGUCAAUGUUGCCUUUAUUAAUUCUAUGAAGGACUCCUUGUGCAAAUUAUUCCGACGAGCUGUUUCUUGUUACAGCAAGAAAAAAUUUACCAUGAGAAAUUGACAACUUCUGAAUGUGUCGUCGUAAAUGUGCUCGAAUUUAAUGGCUAAUGAAAGUUCUAUAUUUGAAACUAAGACAAGAAUAAUUUUAACUUCCUUCACUCUUUCUGAACGGUAUAUCACAUCAGUGGUCAUGGCGCGUAAAAUGGAAACCUUCUUGUACCAUACGUCCAUAAAACAUGAAAAAGAGUGGAAGUUUCAAAAAUGUCAUCUCUUCAGCUCGCAGGAUGAACAAAUACUUUUAUUCUCCAUCCAAAAAUGCGGAACAUUUAAAAAUUGAAAAAAAAAAAAAAAGAAAAUAUAAAUACUUUACCUGGAAUUCAUUAUUGCCGGUAGUAACCGGAAUGUAACGGCCUUAAUUGCAAUCUGGAUACAUAAUCCCCCGUUAACCACACGGAUUCGCACAACCAUUAUUAUCAAGUCAUAAAAGCCAGUUCUACAGUAGAAAGAAACAUGUUUAUUCCAAGCUAUACAGUAUAUCGUCCAGUUACUGAGUGCAAAUACAAACUUAAGCGUGAUUAACUGGCUAAUUGAAUCGAAUUGGAUCUAUUUCUUUCGUAAAAUUGUUGCUUAAAAAUUUAACAAACGCUGAUAUAGCUAAACAGGAAGUAUUUUUUUCUUCGGAAUAUUGCAGCAUUCACAAACUCCCGCAAGCAAAAACGAUGCGACAACGUGGGACGCAACCUGAAUUUCAACUUCGACAGGCCGCCAAGAGAUGGAAAUCGAAUAAUAAAGUAGUUAUCGCUGCUGCCGACUAACGACAACAGCAUGAAGCACGUAGAUAAAAGUUUGGAAUAAUUUUUUUUGUUUGUUCUGUUGUUUAAUUUCUUGAUUAAAAUAGUGCAGAGAAUCAGUAUGAACAAUCUCAUUGGAAAAUUCUUUUUGACACAAGACCCCACGCGUAACGUGUGAACUGCUGUCGUCACAAAUAGGAAUUCAUUCGUGUAUCGUAUAACAUUAGGUUUUGUUUGAAGGAGCCAGAACAAAUGUCUAUCUCUGGCAGUUGAAAAUUGGUUUGGUAUACAUGUUUACGAGAUCUUAAUGGCAGCCUUAAACUGCAAAGGCAAGU